rnacentral:rRNA from 1 species
CCUACGGGUGGCAGCAGUGAGGAAUAUUGGUCAAUGGACGAGAGUCUGAACCAGCCAAGUAGCGUGAAGGAUGACUGCCCUAUGGGUUGUAAACUGCUUUUAUAUGGGAAUAAAAUGUGCCACGUGUGGGAUUUUGUAGGUACCAUAUGAAUAAGGAUCGGCUAAUUCCGUGCCAGCAGCCGCGGUAAUACGGAGGGUCCGAGCGUUAUCCGGAUUUAUUGGGUUUAAAGGGAGCGUAGGUGGAUUGUUAAGUCAGUUGUGAAAGUUUGCGGCUCAACCGUAACAUUGCAGUUGAAACUGGCAGUCUUGAGUACAGUAGAGGUGGGCGGAAUUCGUGGUGUAGCGGUGAAAUGCUUAGAUAUCACGAAGAACUCCGAUUGCGAAGGCAGCUCACCGGACUGCAACUGACACUGAGGCUCGAAGGUGUGGGUAUCGAACAGGAUUAGAUACCCGAGUAGUC